rnacentral:rRNA from 1 species
UGGGGAAUAUUGCACAAUCGGGGAAACCCUGAUGCAGCGACGCCGCGUGAGCGAAGAAGGUUUUCGACUCGUAAAGCUCUGUCCUAUAAGAAGAUAAUGACGGUAUCAUAGGAGGAAGCCCUGGCUAAAUACGUGCCAGCAGCCGCGGUAAUACGUAUGGGGCGAGCGUUGUCCGGAAUUAUUGGGCGUAAAGGGUACGUAGGUGGUUUUUUACGUCAGGUGUCAAAGCGUGGAGCUUAACUCCAUUAAGCACUUGAAACUGAAAGACUUGAGUGAAGGAGAGGAAAGUGGAAUUCCUAGUGUAGCGGUGAAAUGCGUAGAUAUUAGGAGGAAUACCGGUGGCGAAGGCGACUUUCUGGACUUUUACUGACGCUCAGGUACGAAAGCGUGGGGAGCAAACAGG